rnacentral:rRNA from 1 species
CCGACAGGCGUAGGCGAUGGAUAACCGGUUGAUAUUCCGGUACCCGCUGUGAAGCGUCAAACAUUGAAUCCAGUGAUGCUAAGCCCGUGAAGCCGUUCCGGACCCUUCGGGGAAUGGAAAGUGGUGGAGCCGGUGGCCCGAGCUGGUAGUAGGUGAGUGAUGGGGUGACGCAGGAAGGUAGUCCAUCCCGGGCGGUGGUUGUCCCGGGGUAAGGGUGUAGGACGUCAGGUAGGUAAAUCCGCCUGGCACGUAGUCUGAGACCUGAUGCCGAGCCGAUUGUGGUGAAGUGGAUGAUCCUAUGCUGUCGAGAAAAGCCUCUAGCGAGUUUCAUGGCGGCCCGUACCCCAAACCAACACAGG